rnacentral:lncRNA from 1 species
CAUCCAAUUACAGUUUCGCUGCCCUUUCAAACUUAAUUUUAUCAUUGGUCAACGGAAUGCGCGUUGAUCAUUCAUUGCCGCACAUUUGGACCGUGCUUGUUUUCCUCACGAGCACCAGACUCGCGGACCACUGCGACCGCCGCCACCCGCGCAGUCAUUGCUGCAACUGCUUUUGGCGACCAUGGGAGACGAGGAUCCACCGAUCACACGCGAGGACCUGAUCGACGUCGAAACCCAAGACAUAGAACGCUUCCUAAAGCGACGCUACAAGGAGCACACUCAAUCAGCAACGCCAUCGAGGACAAGUAUGUCCAUGUCAACACGAUCGAGGGCACCCGUUACGGACAUGGCGCUCUGAAAGAACUUCAAGAGAUAGGAUCAGAUUGCCCAGUACGAAUCUGAACUGGCCUACGUCGAAACCGAAAUUGUCGUCACCGAGGAGGAACUAACUGCCCGAGGCCAACAAGCGCCGUGUCCUUUUGUCAGCGGGAUGAGGUGACCUUGGAACAAGGGCAAAGACGAUUCCUUUUCAUCUUUUUGCGUUUGUCGUUCGAGUUUUUUCCCUUGCAAGCCCUUGCCGCAUCUGGUGG